rnacentral:ncRNA from 2 species
UUUAAAGGCAACUUAAUCACUCAUAUAUUUUCGGUAAUACGGUCCGGAUGUUUCUACGGAGAACCUUGAAUUCUCCUUCUAUGAGUGGAGUCAGUGCCUAU